rnacentral:rRNA from 1 species
GACGAACCGAGCGAACGUUAUUCGGAAUCACUGGGCUUAAAGGGCGCGUAGGCGGGCCGUCAAGUCGAGGGUGAAAUCCCCCAGCUCAACUGGGGAAGUGCCUCCGAUACUGGCGGCCUCGAGGGGGAUAGGGGCAUGCGGAACUUCCGGUGGAGCGGUGAAAUGCGCAGAUAUCGGAAGGAACACCGGUGGCGAAAGCGGCGUGCUGGAUCCCUUCUGACGCUGAGGCGCGAAAGCCAGGGGAGCGAACGGG